AUUGAACGCUGGCGGCAUGCUUUACACAUGCAAGUCGAACGGCAGCACGGGUGCUUGCACCUGGUGGCGAGUGGCGAACGGGUGAGUAAUGCACCGGAACGUAUCCAAUAAUGGGGGAUAACGCACCGAAAGGUGUGCUAAUACCGCAUACGCCCUGAGGGGGAAAGCGGGGGACCGUAAGGCCUCGCGUUACUGGAGCGGCCGAUGCCGGAUUAGCUAGUUGGUGAGGUAAAGGCUCACCAAGGCGACGAUCCGUAGCUGGUCUGAGAGGACGACCAGCGCAACGGGGGCUGGGACACGGCCCAGACUCCUACGGGAGGCAGCAGUGGGGAAUUUUGGACAAUGGGCGCAAGCCUGAUCCAGCCAUGCCGCGUGAGUGGAGAAGGCCUUCGGGUUGUAAAGCUCUUUCGCAAGGAAAGAAAACUCAUCUCCUAAUACGGGGUGAGGAUGACGGUACCUUGAUAAGAAGCACCGGCUAACUACGUGCCAGCCGCCGCCGUAA
rnacentral:rRNA from 1 species